GGGAGGCUGAGCCUGGUGCAGCAGACAGACCCCUCCUCCACCCAGGCUCAGAAGCCUGGAACAAGCUCAGUGCCAGGUGUUCCUGAAUAGCUCUGGUGACCCCACUGAGGCCUACGACCUUUCAUGGACUCAGUGGGUCACAUAAGCCUGUCUGGCUUGAUGAGGUCAGCCUUUCUUGCCUUAGUCAGGGCGGCCUGCAUUCACACUUUGAGGGAUUUAGACUCUGAGGCCUGAAGGAGAGUGAAGAGGUUUGGGUGGGGGUAGGCAAGAAGAAGCUUUGUGGAGAGGGGCCAUCUCUGUCUGGAAUUCGGAUAACUAACAUUUAGCAAGUUUCUGAAACGUGCCAUGUACUAUUUAAAUCACUUCAUCAUUCAAAAUAACAUUUAUGGUCUAAUCCUAUUUGACAGAUGAAGAAACUGAAGAACAGAAAGGUUAGGUAACUUUCUUAUCAUCACACAGGAAGCGGGAGAAUCAGAAUUCCUGCCCAGAUAGGUGAACUUCCUAACCUCAAUCUUCACGGAAUGAUAAAGUCUGAUUGUUUUAUUGUGGAGGACUGGUUGGCACCCUGAGCUUAGCCCCAGGUACACCCUGCUCAUUUCCUAGUUGACACCUGAAAGUCUGAGGAGUGAUGAGGAUGUGUUCAAGGAGACUCCAGCUUGUAGAUACAAGAGAGAGAAUGCAGCUUCUCUUCCUUGACUGCCAGCAAAGCCUCCUGUCAGUGUUGUCUACAGCCUGCCAGGGAUGUGGGUGAGAAGUCUUGAGAGGAUAAGGCUGGUGGAGUCUCCAUGCAGAUUUGCUGACUAAGAGUGAACCCUGACGCAUUCUGGAUUCAGUGGUGCUUAGAGGGAGAGAUAGGCUGGCUGUGGAGGGGUGAGAGGGACAGGUUGGGGAGGGAGUGGAAGUAGGGAGAGGCUGCUGAUUUUGAAGUUGGUAAAUCAUGGGAUCCUGCUGUGUCGUCCAAGUAUGUGCGUGUGUGUGUGUGUGUGUGUGUGUGUGUGUGUGUGUGUGUGUGUGUGUAAGAUCUGCCCCUACGCUCUUUCUUCCUGAGGAUGAAAUGGUUCUUGUACCUGUGUGAGCAGACAUGUUCCAUUGCUGAAGCUCCUAGGGUGCAAGGCUAUCUCAACCAGAGACUGCUGUGAAUAUUCCUAAAAAUAAACAGCUCCUGAAGCAUGUGAAAUAAGUUAGACUCUUUUGGAGCUAAUGGGCCCCACUUGGCAAAGCCAUGCAGGUAAAGGUACUUGAAGCAGGGGUAUGCAGAUUGCUUUCUGCAGGACUUCUCCUCACCUUUAGCUUCUGCAUCAUCAAACUCCAUCUCCAGUCAUGUGUCUUAGGAUUAUCAUUUAUCAAUUCUGAUCUUUUUAAAAAAGAUUUAUUUAUUUAUUUCAUGUAUACGAGUGCUGUAUCUGCAUGUACAACUUUAUGCCAGAAGAGGGUAUCAGAUUCCACUACAGAUGGUUGUGAGCCACCAUGUGGUUGAUGGGAAUUGAACUCAGGACCUCUGGAAGAGCAGCCAUUGAGCCAUUUCUCCAGCCCUAAAGAUUUGUUUGUUUGUUUAUUUAUCUGUUGAGGCAGGGUUUCUCUGUGUAAUAGUCCUAGCUGUCCUGGAACUUGCUUUGAAGAUCAAGCUGGCCUCGAACUGGCAGAGAUCUACUUGCCUCUGACUCCUAAGUGCUGGGAUUAAAGGGUGUGAGCCACCAUCACAUGACAAUUUAUUUAUUUUUAUCUUAUGUGUUUUUCCUUUGUAUAUGAGUGAGAGCAUCGGAUCCUCUGGAAUUGGAGUUACUGAUGGUUAUUAGCUGCCAUUUGAAUGCCGGGAAUCAAACUUGGGUCCCCUGGAAGAGCAGCCAAUGCUCUUAACGUAGAAGGCCAGGAGAAGCCUGCACACUAGCUAUGGGAGCUCUCCUCUGGUGAAAGACAUUUGAGUAAAUGAGGAAAAGGGUCAAAGUUUUGAAGACAGACAAGCCAUAAAAUGUCAGUCUGCAUCCAGAUUAGGACAUGGAAAAUGGGGAUCAUAGAAGACAGUGCUCUCUCUUCAGCUUGGUGGAGUCUUGGGUCUGCCAUGCUGCCAAGUAUUCACUUUGAGUCUGUUUUCAUUUUUCUGCCUUAUUUUAUUUUUUCUAAUUUCUGAAAAUGACUUUGAAGUCAUUUUACAUGGGACUGUUUCAGCAACUUUAUGUUGUCAUUUACAAUGACCAUUGUAAUUUACAAUAGCCCACUCCAUAUUAGAAAUAAAAUCUUUUGAAGACAAAAGCAUGUUUUCUCUCCAAUCCAGGACUAACAGUUUUUUUGUUUGUUUUGUUUUUGUUUUUUUAGAAAAGAUGGAAUGGAAUGUAGGAGAUUUGUGAGAAAGAAGAAUGGGAAGUGGGCUGGAAGUUACAGCCUUUGUGGUCUGGUCCAAACAGAGUAAAGAUGAGAAUUCUACCUAGCCAGGUGCUGGUGACCAUGUUCUCAGGUUCUGUGUAUCAUUUCCUCGUUUGUCAAAUGAGAGGGUUUUUAAGCCAGAUGCCUUUAAGGAUGUGUCCUAGUGACCCACCUCCUCCUCCUGGGUCUCACUUCCCCAAAUUAAUCACACACCCAGCUGCAGCUCAGCUUCUUGCCUCUGGAGUGAGUUGGAUCGCCUCCUCUCAGGGUGAUGGUGUGGAUGCUGGUUAGUGCUGGAGUGAAGUUAGAGGAUGUGGACACCUCUGAAAUUCUGAACACUUUUUGUUGCUUCUCUGUCUGUUUUGAGACAGGGUCUCACAUAGCCUAGGCUGGCCUCAAACUUUGAAUGUAGCUGAGGUUGGCCUUCAACUCCUGAUCCUCAUGUCUCCAUCUCCUAAGCUCCUGGACAACAGGUGAGAGCAGUAAACUGUGCUUCUUAGGAAGCAUCCUAAAUUGCUUCCCAGUGGUUGGGAAACAUCCCAAUGGUUGUCUCAUUCAGCUUACUCUGGGCCUGAGAUUGCUAGGCCAGUUUGCUUUUCUUCUUAGUAGCCCACGUGUGCCUCUGUUGAUGCCACAGGGCAGGAGGUGUGCACAGGGACCCUUUAAAGAGAACCAACCUGACUGCCCACUCACUUUUGUCUUCCUGUCUGCCUCAUGUAUGCUCACCAUUGAGUGAGCGUGGAUGCCACGACCAAGGCCUAUGCAAAAGCUUGUGGAAACUGGGAUGGUGGCUCUGAUAAUGGAAAUGACUACCACAUGACUAAUGGGCAGUAAUCACUAAGAUCACAACUACAUCAUGACAUGCACUGUGGAUACACUGCACUGAAGGAGGAGUGCCAUUCCAAGUGGAGCAUGUAUUUUCAGACUGAAGUUGAGCAGAGUAAUGCAAAACUCUGAAAAAUCUGAAAAGUGAAGUUACAGAAGAAGGAAGUGCUUCGAUUUGGACUUCAAAGUCUACCCAAAGGGCAUGGUUCAUAAAGGUGUCCACUAAACAACCACAGAAAGAAUCCAGGCAUCAAUGACUGGUGGAGAGAUAACCAAUGAGGUGAAGCAGGAAGACAUGAGAUCAUGAUGAUAACUCACAAAUGCCAGAACCAGCCUGGUCAAAACAAGGGGCAACUGCCUCCCCUCCCCCACGCUGUCUGGACUCAAGGCAAUUGGUGCCUGCCUGUAGAAGUUCCUGCCUCUGUCCAUUGGGACAUAGCUCCUGAGUCACCUCCCCUGGGAAGCCUGCCCAGCUGAGAAAGGAGGAAAGGAGUGAGUGAGGAGUCAGAGGGGACCAUGGGGACAACAAGACCAUGCUGCAAGAAAAUGAAAGAAAAAACCUACUGUGUACAUAUACCACAUUGUAGGGAGAGACCUCUACACUCUCUCACCGGGUUCCAGUCAGGUCUCAGACUGCUGCUGAGACUGAAUUCUCGGAGUGCCGAUCCGGUCAUUGGUUCCUUGUUUGUGAACCUUCCUAUCAACUGUAAAGCAGGAGAGCUAAUCUUACCUGCCUCCAUCUCAAGGACAUCGCCUUUGGGUUUCUCCUGAAUUCCCACCCAUUUUUCUUCUGCCAACUGCUUUCUAUUGUUAGUUGUGUGCCAGGAUUCACUCAGGAGAGGAGAACCAGCAAUGGCCUCCCUUUAAUUAAGAACCUGUGGUGUAAAAAGUCUCAGCCACUGGGUGGCGCUGUGGGAAGACAGUUGCCCUGGUAAAAGACUGAAUACUCAGCAUUUAGGUUUGAAGAGGUGUAGACGGCAGGGUUGGCAUAGGGGCAUGUGUCAUUCAUCCUACUGUGUGCUUUCAGGGUUAUUCAACCUGCUAAUUUGGGCAGUCUGCUCUGAGGUCAGAUGUCCCAUGAAUCUUAAAGAGAUCACUUGGAUUGAAGGAAACAGGGAAAGCCAGAUGGACCUGACAAGGGUCUCCAUCUGUCACUUUCUGCAAGCUCCUCAGUUGUCCCAGUCUGUCUGUCUUGGAGGGGACUUUUCUCCUCACCAUGUGUAACCUGCAAUUUCCUCCAAGGCCCCUGUCUUCUGUGAACUGAGUUUUGAACACUUUUCUAUGACUGUGCAAGAGAUGUUCUGUUUAAAUGUCAUGAGCUAGAAAAAUAACUGAGUCUUGCUUCCUCAUCUCUAAGCUGCAAGACCUUAGUGUGGGCUCUCAGUCUCUUUGCAUAUCUAUGAGUAGAGAAAAUAAGAAGAUAAAGUCCUCGGUCAAAUACCAUUAUAAGUAUUAAAAGAUCACUGGUAGUAAGGUGUCCUGUGAACUGUAAAAUAUAACUCCAAUGGCAGGCAGUGUCAGAAACCCCCAGGAAGCAGAUACCCAUUCUUUGUCUUUUUAUCCCAGGCCUGACACCACACUCUCACUAUGGCAGAUGAGUGAACAACAGGUGUGUGCGCUAUAUAGCCCCCAUGCAGCAGGGAACACACUGGAUGUAGGUCUGGCAAAUUGAUGGCUUCAAAGGAUGAGUCUGGGGGAGAGAGCCGCAGAAGCAGACCCUUAAGAAGAAUCCAGGGUUUGUGCCCUAUCUGCUAGGAAAGCAUCUAGCACAUCCCCAGCCAGCUGGCUCCUGGUUAGCCUGACUGUGCUCUGCUCAGGCCAUCUCAGGCCGCAAUGACUUCUCUCAGAGCAGGUGGACCUAGAGUUUUGUCAUUCAUCACGGGUGCUCUGUUGACCGGCCUGGAAUGUCCUCCUUCUCAUGCCCACUUUGGAGGCCUUAGUCCCUGGUGAUGGUAAACACACUAGACGCAGGGCCUGACACUGAGAUGCCCUGGAUCUGAGCGAGCUGGGGCUGACUGACCUGACCUGUCUCCCAUGGUUAACAAAUACAAACAGAAACAGCACAGGUAAAUAAAUACAGGCCAGUUUGGAGCAAAGCCACAUUGGAGCCUUUUUUUUCCUGACCUAGUUAUUUGUUUGUUUGGAACAUCAUUACUUGGGAAUUGUCACUGUUUCACGUGGUGCUUAUGAAUCUGGUAGGAGAAUCUAAUAAUAAGUUUAUUAUGUAAACAGUAGUAGCAGGCAGCUACUAUUUAGUCAAUGCUUGCCACUCAGUUACUAUGCACUUCAUGGGUAUUAUCUUAAUUAGUCUCAUUAGAUGACUAUGUCUCCUAUAGGGCUCUCUCAGGCCACCCCCAGGGCAUACUACUUCUGUAGCUAUCUUAUGGGCAGGAAAUUUGAAGUUCAGCCAUUUCCUGGGUCAUAGAACAAGUGACUGGAACUCAAGCCAUCCAUUUGUCCCUCUGUUCAUUGUACAAAUUAUUACUGAGCUUGUGCAAUGAACUAGCUACCAGGGGUUCAUGUAGAGUAAUGCAAAGUCUUUCUCUGUGCAGAUAGGAGGCCAAAUAAGCAAAGGGAACAAGGUAGUACAUGGUAGGAAGUAUAACAGAGAAUAAGGAAGGAAGAGAGGGUGGGGAUGCAACCUUGGACAGGAAGGAACAAAAGGUGGCAUCUUGGGGGGCUAGGUUGCUGAGCUGAGUGGAUCAGAGGGCAGAACCCAACUGCUGAUAAACUGUCCAGUGGGCCAAAUGGUCAGAUCACAAGCCAAUGAAGAUCUCUCUCUCUUUUGCAAACAGUGUUUCUCUGUAUAACCCUAACUGUCCUGUAGACCAGACUGGCCUCAAAUUCAGAAAUCAGCCUGCCUCUGCUUCCCGAGUGCUGGGAUUAAAAGUGUUCACCACCACUGCUGGCCUGCAAUGAAGAUUUAUAUGGAAAUCUUUCAUCUUUCUCAGGGUUCAUCUUCUUUUCUUGGGUUAUGCAUUUUCAGAAUAGGAAAUAGAAUAAUAAUUUAGGGAGGAUAUAAAAUAAAUUCAUCUCCUUUUCUCCAUUCGUAGAUUCUUCCAUCUAUCCAUCCAUUCACCCAUCUACCC
ensembl:lncRNA